rnacentral:tRNA from 1 species
UCCCUAGUGGUCUAGUGGCUAAGGAUCCAGCACUCUCACUGCUGUGGCCCAGGUUCAAUUCCCAGCCAGGGAA